rnacentral:misc_RNA from 1 species
AAAGUCGUAACAAGGUCUCCGUUGGUGAACCAGCGGAGGGAUCAUUAACGAGUUUUCCAAACUCCAAACCUUUGUGAACAUACCGAUCGUUGCUUCGGCAGGCGGCUCCGGGGGAGCACAAGGCCAUUCGUGGCGCCUGCCGAAAGCCCCAAACUCUUUUUCUAGGAAUUUUCCUGAGUACCAAACAAACAAGUAAAAACUUUCAACAACGGAUCUCUUGGUUCUG